UACGUAGGGUCCGAGCGUUGUCCGGAAUUACUGGGCGUAAAGAGCUCGUAGGUGGUUUGUCGCGUUGUUCGUGAAAACUCACAACUCAAUUGUGGGCGUGCGGGCGAUACGGGCAGACUGGAGUACUGCAGGGGAGACUGGAAUUCCUGGUGUAGCGGUGGAAUGCGCAGAUAUCAGGAGGAACACCGGUGGCGAAGGCGGGUCUCUGGGCAGUAACUGACGCUGAGGAGCGAAAGCGUGGGGAGCAAACGGG
rnacentral:rRNA from 1 species